AGAGUUUGAUCAUGGCUCAGGGUAAACGCUGGCGGCGUGCCUAAAACAUGCAAGUCGAACGCGACCCGCAAGGGUCGAGUGGCAGACGGCUGAGUAACGCGUGGGUGACGUACCCGUUGGUGGGGAAUAACUGCCCGAAAGGGUGGCUAAUUCCGCAUACGCCCUCGUUUUCGUUGACGAGGGGAAAGUCUCUCAAAAGACGCCAAUGGAGCGGCCCGCGUUCGAUUAGCUGGUUGGUGGGGUAACGGCCUACCAAGGCGACGAUCGAUAGCUGGUCUCAGAGGAUGAUCAGCCAGACUGGGACUGAGACACGGCCCAGACUCCUACGGGAGGCAGCAGUUAGGAAUUUUGGGCAAUGGGCGCAAGCCUGACCCAGCAACGCCGCGUGGGUGACGAAGGCCUUCGGGUUGUAAAGCCCUUUUCUGGGGGAAGAUAGUGACGGUACCCCAGGAAGAAGCACCGGCUAACUACGUGCCAGCAGCCGCGGUAAUACGUAGGGUGCGAGCGUUGCCCGGAUUUAUUGGGCGUAAAGGGCGCGCAGGCGGCCACGCACGUCCGUUGUGAAAUCGCCCGGCUCAACUGGGCGGGGUCAGCGGAUACGGCGUGGCUGGAGCAAGCUAGGGGGCAAUGGAAUUCCCGGUGUAGUGGUGGAAUGCGUAGAUAUCGGGAGGAACACCAGUGGCGAAGGCGGUUGCCUGGAGCUUUGCUGACGCUGAGGCGCGAAAGCGUGGGGAGCGAUCCGGAUUAGAUACCCUAGUAGUCC
rnacentral:rRNA from 1 species